rnacentral:lncRNA from 1 species
GAAACUAUUUGAGAAGUAUCUUGAAAAUAAUUAGAUUUUUAAGCCCAGUUUUAGGGCCCAGUGUUUGAAGGCGAACACUUGGUGUGAUGUGGCGAGCGCCUGCGCUCCUGGUGCUUUCCCUUCUCUGUCCUUCCUGGUGCGUCAGGUGUGCUUGGCUCCACCACAGCUCUUUGCCUGGCGGCUUCGGAGCCAUGGGAAGGAAACAUCAGAACUCUGUGCAGUUCGGAGGCACAGGAAUUGUCCGUCCUUUGACAGUGCCGGGCCUACUGUUUAAAGGACCCAGUUACGAUGCUUGGCACUCAUGGACUUACCUCUAAGAAAUUCCAUCUCAACUUUAGUAUUUACAGCCCCAUGGACUCCCAUUUUCAUGGAAGGCAGUAGUAAGAGCACACGGCUUCUGAAAGGAAGGUGGCUUCUCUUUCAGCAGCCUUAGAACUCUUAGGAGGCCUGGCCAGGUGAGGGAUAGCGCACAUUGGUCUCAGUGGUGGGAAUCAGUU